AUUGAACGCUGGCGGAAUGCUUUACACAUGCAAGUCGAACGGUAGAGGGGGCAACCCCUUGAGAGUGGCGAACGGGUGAGUAAUAUAUCGGAACGUGCCCAGUCGUGGGGAUAACGUAGCGAAAGUUACGCUAAUACCGCAUACGAUCUAAGGAUGAAAGCGGGGAUCGCAAGACCUCGCGCGAUUGGAGCGGCCGAUAUCAGAUUAGGUAGUUGGUGGGGUAAAGGCUCACCAAGCCAACGAUCUGUAGCUGGUCUGAGAGGACGACCAGCCACACUGGAACUGAGACACGGUCCAGACUCCUACGGAGGCAGCAGUGGGAAUUUUGGACAAUGG
rnacentral:rRNA from 1 species